rnacentral:rRNA from 1 species
AGUGAACGCUGACGGUAGGCCUAACACAUGCAAGUCGAACGGCAGCACAGUAAGAGCUUGCUCUUACGGGUGGCGAGUGGCGGACGGGUGAGGAAUACAUCGGAAUCUACUUUUUCGUGGGGGAUAACGUAGGGAAACUUACGCUAAUACCGCAUACGACCUACGGGUGAAAGCAGGGGAUCUUCGGACCUUGCGCGAUUGAAUGAGCCGAUGUCGGAUUAGCUAGUUGGCGGGGUAAAGGCCCACCAAGGCGACGAUCCGUAGCUGGUCUGAGAGGAUGAUCAGCCACACUGGAACUGAGACACGGUCCAGACUCCUACGGGAGGCAGCAGUGGGGAAUAUUGGACAAUGGGCGAAAGCCUGAUCCAGCCAUACCGCGUGGGUGAAGAAGGCCUUCGGGUUGUAAAGCCCUUUUGUUGGGAAAGAAAAGCAGCAGGUUAAUACCCCGCUGUUCUGACGGUACCCAAAGAAUAAGCACCGGCUAACUUCGUG